rnacentral:rRNA from 1 species
UACGUGGGUGGCAAGCGUUGUCCGGAUUUACUGGGCGUAAAGAGCGCGCAGGCGGUCGUUCAAGUCGCGUGUGAAAGCCCCCGGCUCAACUGGGGAGGGUCACGCGAUACUGAUCGACUCGAAGGCAGGAGAGGGUAGUGGAAUUCCCAGUGUAGCGGUGAAAUGCGUAGAUAUUGGGAGGAACACCAGUGGCGAAGGCGGCUCUCUGGGACGGUACUGACGCUGAGACGCGAAAGCGUGGGGAGCGAACAGG